ACUAGAGCCAAAUCUAUCUCAAAAGUUUAGGUCAUUUUUUUUUUUCCUUUUGAUAGUAUUCAAUGAGAAAUAACACUUUAAAUAAAACUUUUCCAUGAGGAAGGUACAGUAAUUAUCCAC
rnacentral:lncRNA from 1 species